CUAAUACCCAAUGAUAUCUCUAGAAGGCAUCUGAAAGAGAUUAAAGAUUUAUCGGUGAUGGAUGGGGAUGCGUCUGAUUAGCUUGUUGGCGGGGUAACGGCCCACCAAGGCAACGAUCAGUAGGGGUUCUGAGAGGAAGGUCCCCCACAUUGGAACUGAGACACGGUCCAAACUCCUACGGGAGGCAGCAGUGAGGAAUAUUGGUCAAUGGACGAGAGUCUGAACCAGCCAAGUAGCGUGCAGGAAGACGGCCCUAUGGGUUGUAAACUGCUUUUAUAAGGGAAUAAAGUGAGUCUCGUGAGACUUUUUGCAUGUACCUUAUGAAUAAGGACCGGCUAAUUCCGUGCCAGCAGCCGCGGUAAUACGGAAGGUCCGGGCGUUAUCCGGAUUUAUUGGGUUUAAAGGGAGCGUAGGCCGGAGAUUAAGCGUGUUGUGAAAUGUAGAUGCUCAACAUCUGAACUGCAGCGCGAACUGGUUUCCUUGAGUACGCACAAAGUGGGCGGAAUUCGUGGUGUAGCGGUGAAAUGCUUAGAUAUCACGAAGAACUCCGAUUGCGAAGGCAGCUCACUGGAGCGCAACUGACGCUGAAGCUCGAAAGUGCGGGUAUCGAACAGGAUUAGAUACCCUGGUAGUCCGCACGGUAAAC
rnacentral:rRNA from 1 species